GCCGCAACACACAAAUGUUUAUCUGAAAAUCAGUAGUGAGGAUAGAAACUUCUUCUCUUUUGUCGCAAGGGCGCCAGGGGGCGUCUGCAUACUAUAUGAAACUUUUCUUUCACGAAAAAUGUCAACAACAACGUUUACGCCAACAGAUCAUCGAGGGAUAGAUUCUUCUGCGAUCGGAUGAGUAUCGUCUGAUGAUGUAUCGUCGAAUAACUCGAUUCAUCGUCCAAUUUAUAUGCGACAAUAACGAAUAAAGGCUCAAAAAUACUUUGUUACAAAGUUAUAAAAAAAAAAAAAAAAAAAAAAAAAAAAACAAAGAAAAUAGGAAACAACAAAUUGGUUUUCAUUCGAUUAUACUAUAUACGUAUUAUAAGACAUUAGUUAUAUUUAUCUAAUCUAUUUACACAAGGUAUAUUUAGGUGUUUUGUACUAAAGUUAAUUUAUCAUCAAUCCCUUUUUUUUUUUUUUUUUUUUUUUUUUUUUCCCAAAGUAUACACUCUCUAUCAGAUCACUUCACUGUCACGUCCAAUUGCAUUCCAUCGUCAUCAUCUUCAUCGAUACUUAUGCGAGGAUACACUUAAUUGUACUGUUUCUAAUCAUGCAUUUUAACUCAUAAAUACGUGUAUAAAAGUGUAUGUAUAUCCUAUGUAACACAAUAUUGGAACAUAACUUAGAUAUUGCAGAACGAACAAUGUUACACUUGAAAUUUCUUUAUUCUUAAAUUAAAAUGUUACAUUUGCUACAAACAUUUUUGGGUGAAAAUUGUAUUAGAUUUGAGUUAUAAAACUUUAAAAAGAUUUCUGCCUGUGAAUGAAUAACGAUGUACAUACGGCGUUUUAAUAUUGUGCUUAUAAGAAAAGUGAAAAGAUGCUAGUAAUUCAUAAUUUCAUAGU